CUGAAUCCUGCUAUUUCUGACAACAUGAAACCGCAGGACAUUAUGAAAUGGCCACAUCAUGCUCUUCUAGAAGUUUCUCAUCCCUCAGUCAAGAGGUGGAGCCUAUUUACUCUUGACCUUGAAAUUGAUCAGGACUUUGUCACUGCCUUGCUCUUAACAUCACCAUGCUGGAGAAAUAGCAUGGCAAGGCCAGCUGGUGAUAGAGAAAGAUGCCUAAGGAGCUCCAGCUGCUAUUUUCCCUGGAUUUUUGAGUCUUCCCAUUCCAGCCAGACAUAUGACUGGGCAAAACCCUCAGGUAACUACAGCCUUAUCCACUGUCUGACUAUCACAAAAUGAGAGACCUUGGGUGAGGACCACCUACCUGAGCCCAGUCAUCCUGCAGAGAUG
rnacentral:lncRNA from 1 species